GUUGUAUAGUCAAGUAAUUAAGUGCAUGUGGUGGAUGCCUUGGCAGUCAGAGGCGAUGAAAGACGUGAUAGCCUGCGAAAAGCUCCGGGGAGGCGGCAAAUAUCCUUUGAUCCGGAGAUGUCUGAAUGGGGGAACCCACCUACUUUAAGGUAGGUAUUGCAACAUGAAUACAUAGUGUUGCAAGGCGAACGAGGGGAAGUGAAACAUCUCAGUACCCUUAGGAAAAGAAAUCAAUUGAGAUUCCCUCAGUAGCGGCGAGCGAACGGGGAUCAGCCCAUUAAGUUAUGUGUGUUUUAGUGGAACGCUCUGGGAAGUGCGAACGUAGAGGGUGAUAUUCCCGUACACGAAAGGGCACACAUAAUGAUGACGAGUAGGGCGAGGCACGUGAAACCUUGUCUGAAUAUGGGGGGACCAUCCUCCAAGGCUAAAUACUCCUGACUGACCGAUAGUGAACCAGUACCGUGAGGGAAAGGCGAAAAGAACCCCUGUGAGGGGAGUGAAAUAGAUCCUGAAACCGCAUGCAUACAAGCAGUGGGAGCACCUUCGUGGUGUGACUGCGUACCUUUUGUAUAAUGGGUCAGCGACUUAUAUUCAGUAGCGAGGUUAACCGUAUAGGGGAGCCGUAGAGAAAUCGAGUCUUAAUAGGGCGUUUAGUUGCUGGGUAUAGACCCGAAACCAGGCGAUCUAUCCAUGAGCAGGUUGAAGGUUGGGUAACACUAACUGGAGGACCGAACCCACUGUCGUUGAAAAGCCAGGGGAUGACUUGUGGAUAGGGGUGAAAGGCUAAUCAAGCCUGGUGAUAGCUGGUUCUCCCCGAAAGCUAUUUAGGUAGCGCCUCGGACGAAUACCAUAGGGGGUAGAGCACUGUUUCGGCUAGGGGGUCAUCCCGACUUACCAAACCGAUGCAAACUCCGAAUACCUAUGAGUACUAUCCGGGAGACAGACUGCGGGUGCUAACGUCCGUAGUCAAGAGGAAAACAAUCCAGACCGCCAGCUAAGGCCCCAAAAUCAUAGUUAAGUGGGAAACGAUGUGGGAAGGCAUAGACAGCUAGGAGGUUGGCUUAGAAGCAGCCACCCUUUAAAGAAAGCGUAAUAGCUCACUAGUCGAGUCGGCCUGCGCGGAAGAUGUAACGGGGCUAAAACUAUGUGCCGAAGCUGCGGAUUUGACAUUAGUCAAGUGGUAGGGGAGCGUUCUGUAAGCCGAUGAAGGUGUGUUGAGAAGCAUGCUGGAGGUAUCAGAAGUGCGAAUGCUGACGUGAGUAACGACAAAACGGGUGAAAAACCCGUUCGCCGAAAGACCAAGGGUUCCAGUCCAACGUUAAUCGGGGCUGGGUGAGUCGACCCCUAAGGCGAGGCCGAAAGGCGUAGUCGAUGGGAAAAUGGUUAAUAUUCCAUUACUUCUGUGUAAUGCGAUGAGAGGACGGAGAAGGCUAAAUCAGCCUGGCGUUGGUUGUCCAGGUGAAAGGAUGUAGGCAUGUAUCUUAGGCAAAUCCGGGGUACUCUAUGCUGAGAUCUGAUAGCAAGCUGUACUUGUACAGCGAAGUGGUUGAUGCCAUGCUUCCAGGAAAAGUCUCUAAGCUUCAGUUACACAGGAAUCGUACCCGAAACCGACACAGGUGGUCAGGUCGAGUAGACCAAGGCGCUUGAGAGAACUCUGCUGAAGGAACUAGGCAAAAUGGUACCGUAACUUCGGGAGAAGGUACGCUGUUGUUGGUGAUGGAACUCGCUUCCUGAGCUGACGACAGCCGCAGAAACCAGGCCGCUGCAACUGUUUAUUAAAAACAUAGCACUCUGCAAACACGAAAGUGGACGUAUAGGGUGUGAUGCCUGCCCGGUGCUGGAAGGUUAAUUGAUGGGGUUAGCGUAAGCGAAGCUCUUGAUCGAAGCCCCAGUAAACGGCGGCCGUAACUAUAACGGUCCUAAGGUAGCGAAAUUCCUUGUCGGGUAAGUUCCGACCUGCACGAAUGGCAUAAUGAUGGCGGCGCUGUCUCCAGCAGAGGCUCAGUGAAAUCGAAAUCGCUGUGAAGAUGCAGUGUACCCGCGGCUAGACGGAAAGACCCCGUGAACCUUUACUGCAGCUUGACACUGAACUUUGACCUUACUUGUGUAGGAUAGGUGGGAGGCUUUGAAGCUGGAACGCUAGUUCCAGUGGAGCCGUCCUUGAAAUACCACCCUGGUAAUGUUGAGGUUCUAACUCUGUCCCGUGAUCCGGGACGAGGACCGUGUCUGGUGGGUAGUUUGACUGGGGCGGUCUCCUCCUAAAGAGUAACGGAGGAGUACGAAGGUGCGCUCAGCGUGGUCGGAAAUCACGCGUAGAGUAUAAAGGCAAAAGCGCGCUUAACUGCGAGACCCACAAGUCGAGCAGGUACGAAAGUAGGUCUUAGUGAUCCGGUGGUUCUGUAUGGAAGGGCCAUCGCUCAACGGAUAAAAGGUACUCUGGGGAUAACAGGCUGAUACCGCCCAAGAGUUCAUAUCGACGGCGGUGUUUGGCACCUCGAUGUCGGCUCAUCUCAUCCUGGGGCUGAAGCAGGUCCCAAGGGUAUGGCUGUUCGCCAUUUAAAGAGGUACGCGAGCUGGGUUUAGAACGUCGUGAGACAGUUCGGUCCCUAUCUACCGUGGGCGCUGGAAAUUUGAGAGGAUCUGCUCCUAGUACGAGAGGACCAGAGUGGACGAACCUCUGGUGUACCGGUUGUGACGCCAGUCGCAUCGCCGGGUAGCUAUGUUCGGAAGGGAUAACCGCUGAAAGCAUCUAAGCGGGAAGCCUACCUCAAGAUAAGAUUUCCCUAGGACUUUAUGUCCUCUAAAGAGCCGUUCGAGACUAGGACGUUGAUAGGUUGGAUGUGGAAGCAUAGUGAUAUGUGAAGCUGACCAAUACUAAUUGCUCGUGAGGCUUGACUAUACAACACCCAAGCAGUUG
rnacentral:rRNA from 1 species